UUCGACACACUAUCAUUAACUGAAUCCAUAGGUUAAUGAGGCGAACCGGGGGAACUGAAACAUCUAAGUACCCCGAGGAAAAGAAAUCAACCGAGAUUCCCCCAGUAGCGGCGAGCGAACGGGGAGGAGCCCAGAGCCUGAAUCAGUGUGUGUGUUAGUGGAAGCGUCUGGAAAGGCGCGCGAUACAGGGUGACAGCCCCGUACACAAAAAUGCACAUACUGUGAGCUCGAUGAGUAGGGCGGGACACGUGGUAUCCUGUCUGAAUAUGGGGGGACCAUCCUCCAAGGCUAAAUACUCCUGACUGACCGAUAGUGAACCAGUACCGUGAGGGAAAGGCGAAAAGAACCCCGGCGAGGGGAGUGAAAAAGAACCUGAAACCGUGUACGUACAAGCAGUGGGAGCCUCUUAAUGGGGUGACUGCGUACCUUUUGUAUAAUGGGUCAGCGACUUAUAUUCUGUAGCAAGGUUAACCGAAUAGGGGAGCCGAAGGGAAACCGAGUCUUAACUGGGCGUUAAGUUGCAGGGUAUAGACCCGAAACCCGGUGAUCUAGCCAUGGGCAGGUUGAAGGUUGGGUAACACUAACUGGAGGACCGAACCGACUAAUGUUGAAAAAUUAGCGGAUGACUUGUGGCUGGGGGUGAAAGGCCAAUCAAACCGGGAGAUAGCUGGUUCUCCCCGAAAGCUAUUUAGGUAGCGCCUCGUGAAUUCAUCUCCGGGGGUAGAGCACUGUUUCGGCAAGGGGGUCAUCCCGACUUACCAACCCGAUGCAAACUGCGAAUACCGGAGAAUGUUAUCACGGGAGACACACGGCGGGUGCUAACGUCCGUCGUGAAGAGGGAAACAACCCAGACCGCCAGCUAAGGUCCCAAAGUCAUGGUUAAGUGGGAAACGAUGUGGGAAGGCCCAGACAGCCAGGAUGUUGGCUUAGAAGCAGCCAUCAUUUAAAGAAAGCGUAAUAGCUCACUGGUCGAGUCGGCCUGCGCGGAAGAUGUAACGGGGCUAAACCAUGCACCGAAGCUGCGGCAGCGACACUAUGUGUUGUUGGGUAGGGGAGCGUUCUGUAAGCCUGUGAAGGUGUACUGUGAGGUAUGCUGGAGGUAUCAGAAGUGCGAAUGCUGACAUAAGUAACGAUAAAGCGGGUGAAAAGCCCGCUCGCCGGAAGACCAAGGGUUCCUGUCCAACGUUAAUCGGGGCAGGGUGAGUCGACCCCUAAGGCGAGGCCGAAAGGCGUAGUCGAUGGGAAACAGGUUAAUAUUCCUGUACUUGGUGUUACUGCGAAGGGGGGACGGAGAAGGCUAUGUUGGCCGGGCGACGGUUGUCCCGGUUUAAGCGUGUAGGCUGGUUUUCCAGGCAAAUCCGGAAAAUCAAGGCUGAGGCGUGAUGACGAGGCACUACGGUGCUGAAGCGACAAAUGCCCUGCUUCCAGGAAAAGCCUCUAAGCAUCAGGUAACAUCAAAUCGUACCCCAAACCGACACAGGUGGUCAGGUAGAGAAUACCAAGGCGCUUGAGAGAACUCGGGUGAAGGAACUAGGCAAAAUGGUGCCGUAACUUCGGGAGAAGGCACGCUGAUAUGUAGGUGAAGCGACUUGCUCGUGGAGCUGAAAUCAGUCGAAGAUACCAGCUGGCUGCAACUGUUUAUUAAAAACACAGCACUGUGCAAACACGAAAGUGGACG
rnacentral:rRNA from 1 species